AGCCUUACGGGAAGGCGGCACUGGACCCAGAAUCCAAGGGGCCGAAAGGCCGGUGCGGGUUCGACUCAGGCCCCGCCCACCA
rnacentral:tRNA from 1 species